GGCCUAUUAGCUCAGUUAGUUAGAGCGUCGUGCUAAUAACGCAAAGGUCACAGGUUCGAGACCUAUAUGGGCCA
rfam:Ipomoea nil DNA, scaffold: scaffold1101, cultivar: Tokyo-kokei standard.